CAAAUUAGAGCUUGGUAGAAAGUUUUUUACUUACAUUAAAAAGUUGUCGUGCAAUUCGAUAUAAUUUGA